rnacentral:snoRNA from 1 species
AACCCAUGGUGAGGGCACCUUCGUAAUAGGUCAUUAUAUCUUUCCCAUGCAUCAUAGAGUGUUUCUAGAUCCAUCUGCACAAAAGAAGAGAUAUCAUUCCUCAACUU